rnacentral:rRNA from 1 species
CCUACGGGAGGCAGCAGUGGGGAAUAUUGGGCAAUGGACGCAACUCUUACCCAGCAAUGCCGCGUGAAUGAAGAAGGUCUUCGGAUUGUAAACUUCUUUACUUGGGGACGAAAAAAAUGCGGUUACCGAAGGAUAAAGCACGGGCUAACUACGUGCAAGAAGCCGCGGUAAUACGUAGGGGGCAGGGGUUGUUCGGAAUGACUGGGGGUAAAGGGUGGGUAGGCGGGGUAGCAAGUUAGAAGGGAAAUACCUAGAGCUUAACUCAGGUGCUGCUUCUAAAACUGCUAUACUUGAGUGCAGUAGAGGAAGGUGGAAUUCCUAGUGUAGCGGUGGAAUGCGUAGAUAUUAGGAGGAACAUCAGUGGCGAAGGCGACUUUCUGGACUGUAACUGACGCUGAGGCACGAAAGUGUGGGGAGCAAACAGGAUUAGAUACCCCAGUAGUC